rnacentral:rRNA from 1 species
GUAGGGAAUAUUGCGCAAUGGACGAAAGUCUGACGCAGCGACGCCGCGUGAGUGAUGAAGGCCUUAGGGUCGUAAAGCUCUGUUGAAUGGGAAGAAAAGAAUGACGGUACCAUUCGAGGAAGGACCGGCUAACUUCGUGCCAGCAGCCGCGGUAAUACGAGGGGUCCUAGCGUUGUUCGGAAUCAUUGGGCGUAAAGGGUGUGUAGGUGGCCAUGUAAGUCAGGUGUGAAAGCCCCGGGCUCAACCCGGGAAGUGCACUUGAUAAUGCGUAGCUUGAGUACCGAAGAGGGUAGUGGAAUUCCAGGUGUAGUGGUGAAAUACGUAGAUAUCUGGAGGAACACCGGUGGCGAAGGCGGCUACCUGGUCGAGUACUGACACUGAGACACGAAAGCAUGGGGAUCAAACAGGAUUAGAUACCCUGGUAGUCC